GUGCUUGCUUCAGCAGCACGCAUACUAAAAAGUGGAAUGAUAGAGAGAAGAUUAGCAUGGUUCCUAAAAAAGAAAAAAAAAAAAAAGAAGAAAAAGAACCUUAUUUC